rnacentral:lncRNA from 1 species
CUAUAGCUAUAUAUAGAUAUUUAUAUAAAUAACUGUCAUUAAUUUGAAUGAAUUUAAAUUUCUUUGUUUUUUCUUUUCUUUCAUUUUUUGUUCUCAAGCAACUCGUUUUGAGGCAACCCGUAAAAUUAACUUGCUGCUGAAGACUGAUGAACCUCUAGAACUGACCAAGAGGAAAUCGGUCCUGCCUCAAAAAUAUCAAGAUGAGUCAGAUAACUCGACCAUCACUGACAGUCAGAUUCUUACUCAGUGGUUACAUGUCAAGGUGAUAUCAAGUUAUAUGGAGCUCUUUUGUAAUAUUUCUCAAUGAAUGUUACAUCAAAUUGUGGAAGUGAUUUUUAGUUCUGAUUUGCAGUUAUAGACUGCAAUGUUUAGCUUUAAAAUAUAAACCAUCAUUUGUAGUUCUUGUUACUGAACCUGUUGUUUUUGCAGUUGAGCUACUAAACUGAAACAUCAGUUGUUUUUUUCUUUUUCUGUAUUAAUGAUUUGAUUUUUCUCUCUCUGGACACCCAGAAGUCAAAGGUACAGAAAAGAAAAGACCCUGCUGAAGACUUUCUUGAGAUGUACUGUCAUCCAAAAACAAGUUCAAGGGAUAGAAAUCCAGAAAAGACAGUAUCUGAAUUAAUGCAGGAGAUCAAGGAGCUGAAAGAGGAGAACGCUAACUUGAAGGAGAUGGUUGUUCAAGGUAUUUGUUCAUAUUAUUUACUAAAUUAUUUGACAAAUCAUUUUUCUAAAGCGUUUUACCCUGCCAUUACUGUGUUGCAUUGUUUUUUACUUGCCACUGAUGUAAAAAUAAUUUUUGUGUUUAUAUUUUUGUUUCUACUGUGUGCAGAUAUACCAGAACUCAUGAACACCAUGAAAAAUGUAAUUAAGUCGGUUGUACCUACUAAGCGAUCCAGGCUUGAGCUUAAUACACCACCGAUGCCCCCCCAGAGUUUUAGUUCCUCAGCACCGUCCCACCCUGGAGCUACAGAAUCCAGUUCCGUGUCUGACACUGUGACUCCAUCCCAGAAGGACUCGCAGUCUUCUAAGGUGGAGAUCUACCCUGGAACUGGAGUCCUGGUGGAGAAACUGGCGUGGACGUACGCUUUAAAUUCACAUUCAGCCACUGGAUUUGUGAGACAUCUAGUCACAGCAGUCUUCCCACCAGAGAUACUGCUGGUGAGCAAUCUUCGCGGGGGCAAACGAGGUGGAGGCGAUGCUCGUCUACCAUUGGACAAGCAUAAAUUGGAUGCCAUUUACAGUGCAACUCUUGAGAGGUGGCCAGGGACACAGAUCGCCAGCAUCGGAACCACAAUAAAUGGCAAGAUUACAGAACUCCGGGCGAAAAGUAAAAAUGUUGCCGUGCCAUAAGUUGUCAUGGUUACGCUUUGGGUUGGUUCUUAAGGUUGUUUCCUUUUUUAUUUUUAAGGCCCUUCCUUGUUUGUUUAGUUUAGUUUGACUUCCCUCGUCCCAAUCUUUCCUGAUCAUUGGCACCUAUGUCUCGUCAGCCCCGUUAGUAUAUAUGUCUUGUCACUCCCUUCCUCUUGUGCUGAUCCGUACUGUUAGUUCCCCCCUUCAAGUGGUUUUGGUUCUAUUGUCAAGCUUAGAUAAGUCUGUUCUCAGUUUAUGUUACUCUUUUGGUAUUUGGAUUCCCUGUGGUACAGCGUCCUUUGUUAAAUAAAUAGAUUUUGUUUUUUCGAACUCCUGCUGCUUCCUGUCCUGCAUUUGUGUCCUCUACCAACCCUAAACGUUACAGGAUUGUUCCUUAUUUAAAUUUAGUUUUUAGUGUUAUAGACAUUGAAGAACUGUAUUUAUGUGAAGGGAAGGGAAUUGUAAUAGCUGAAAUUAGUUUUAAGUGAUGUGCCUGUUUGUAGUUGCAAUUUGUAAGGCAAUUUCAGUGUCCAUAUACCGUAAUUUCAAAUGAAGUCAUGCCACUUCAACAUGUGCUUUAUAUAAGUUUAACAAUUAACACUUGACAUUAUAC